rnacentral:lncRNA from 1 species
GCAGGUUUUGUGAGCGACCUCUUUGACCUCUUAGGCUUGGUGUCUCCCACCAAUGACUAUUGGGGAGACAUUGCUGUUACUAGUUUUAGAAACACCUCCUCCCCAAACCAAGAUCAUCCACUCCUUUUGGUGACAAAUGCACAGGAGUGCAGUGGGAACAAGAUCUUUGAGUCUAGAUAGAUAUAAAAAAGGAAAGAGCAGUUUACUUAAUAGCCUAGGAAUAGACAUUUCUACACACUCACUGAGCCAGACACUGGAGGUCACAGAUGGGUCAGACAGGACUCCUGUCCUCCAGGGUCGCAUGUUUAACAGGGGAUCCAAACAUACGAGCAGGUGACUGCUGUAUGAAGCGAAGGGGCAGGAGUACAGGUGCAAAUUCAUAUUUACUGCUUAACUUUCUGAAGUGUGCUGACUUGAUUUUUUUUUUUUGAAUCAUGGAGAGCUGUGUGGAGGGACCUGCUAUUAUUAUGGUAAAUGUCUUUUAAUUUCUCCAGAUUAUCUAGAUAGUGUUUUAUUUUGUGUGGCUUCCUAUUUAGUACCAUCACAGACUCUGAGAAAAAAAAAUAUUCUACACUCUGGCUCUCACAUAGAUGAGAAAGAACUUUAGUGAAGUGGGCAAAAGCAGUUGUGAAGAGAAUGACUUAAUUGGUUUUCUUGGUGUUUCCAUGGGACAGGUUGACAGUUUAGAGCAUUUUAGUUGAUAGAUAAGGAACUUGCGUUUUAACAGUGGCUCCCUUCAGACGAUUAAAAAAAAAAUAAAAAAAUAACCCUUUGCGAAGUGUAGAAGGAAGUAUUUAGUGUUUGCUAGUAGAAUCACACUGGUAUGCCUCCUGGAGAACUUGGUUUUGCCCAUUUGGUUCUCAUUGACACUGUUGGAUUAGCCUAUCGCCUCUGGGCACAGACUUGGUAGCAGUUAAAGUAGUGAAGUGUAGACACUGUACCUGCCACUGUGGGCAGACUCCUUUCAUUUCUCUGUGGUGUUGCCUCUUGCUUUCUGUCAGAUUCUCGUCUGUUGUGGUGACUAGAGAUGUUGUCAGAUAUCCCAGUAGUUCCCCAUGUAACUGUGUUUGUAAAUGGAGACCCUCUUACCCCCAGUGUUAUGCAGAUGGACAUGUUCAUGCUUUUGAGGUAUCAAUUUAACUCAACUGAUUUCAGAAAAAAAAUUAUUCUGUAUUAGAACAAGAUUGUUAUCGUGGGACAGAAUGCUGAGUUUGUACAGAUUACACGUAGAAAGUAGUUUGCUUGACUGAAUGUUAUUUAGAACAUAUCUCAGAAUAUUCAAAGGGUUGGGGAUUUCUCUCUAUCAUCAGGAACAUUUUGGCAGAAAAGUCUGUGCUAGACUGAUUCAUCACAGGUAUAGAGUGACUGAGAACAAGCGGACAAGGUGUUCCUCAUAUAGGGAAUUAGGGGAGUUUGUCGUAGUGUUGCAAUGUUUCCCUUAGUCUAGCAUAGAAUUUGUAGCCACUUGUUUUGAAUUGCUUGCAUGUGGAUUUAUUGCAAUUACUUCUGUACCUUGACCUUUAAUAAAACUUCAAUAAAGAUCAUAAAU